rnacentral:rRNA from 1 species
GGCGGUAUUUUAGUCUAUUCAGAGGAACCUGUUUUGUAAUCGAUAAUCCACGAUGGACCUUACUUAAAUUUGUAAUCAGUUUAUAUACCGUCGUUAUUAGAAUAUUUUAUAAGAAAGUUAAUUUUCAAGAAUUUUUAAAAGAAAGAAUAUCAGAUCAAGGUGUAGCUUAUGUUUAAGUUUAAAUGGGUUACAAUAAAGUUAUUUAUAUGAAUAUAAAUUUGAAAUGUUUAUUGAAGGUGGAUUUGAUAGUAAAAUUAUAUAGAUAAAUAAUUUGAUUUUAGCUCUAAAAUAUGCACACAUCGCCCGUCACUCUUAUUAUUAAGGUAAGAUAAGUCGUAACAUAGUAGAUGUACUGGAAAGUGUACCUAGAAUGCAAUUUAAAGCUUAUUUAGUAAAGCAUUUCAUUUACAUUGAAAAGAUUUUUGUGCAAAUCAAUAUAAAUUGAAAUUAUUUUUUACUUAUUAAUUAAUUUUUUUUUUGUUGUAAAUUAUUAAAAAUAAUUAUAUAGUGAUUUGUUUAA